UGUGAAAAAAUUCAUCGAUUUCUAUAAUUAAAAACUGACGUGGUUGACAAAUAACCAGAUAGUACGUGUUGUGCUACGUGUACCUCAUUUUGACUUAUAUGGACCAGUUUUUAACCGUAAAAAUGAAUGAAAUUUUAACA
rfam:Gossypium raimondii Chr11_contig_41, whole genome shotgun sequence.